UUUGAAACAUACAUUUGGAAACUUUCCCUAGGAAGAAAAGUGCUUACGCAGCUUUAGCGGCUGUACAUGUGCUUUGGAUUGUGUGAAACUCUAUCUGCUUUUCCUCAGCAGAGGCCGGAUCCCCACAGGGGAGAGGCAGCCAGACCGGCAGACCCGGCGUGGCGACUUUGCUGCAAAACUCCUUCCACAUUCCACGGGCAAGGAAUGCCCCCACUGGCUGCAUUCAUAAGCCCAGGCUACCAGAUGAGCACUGCCCUGGAGUGAACACCUCAAGUGGGGCACAAGCCAGAGGUACCAAAGAAAUGUUAAUCCAUCAGCAGGGGAUCAUGUCCUCUUGGACACCCAGGAGUGCUGGAUAAUGAAGUGCUGGGC